UACGGGGGGGGCAAGCGUUGUUCGGAAUUACUGGGCGUAAAGGGCUCGUAGGUGGCCAACUAAGUCAUACGUGAAAUCCCUCGGCUUAACCGGGGAACUGCGUCUGAUACUGGAUGGCUUGAGUUUGGGAGAGGGAUGCGGAAUUCCAGGUGUAGCGGUGAAAUGCGUAGAUAUCCGGAGGAACACCGGUGGCGAAGGCGGCUUCCUGGACCGAUACUGACGCUGAGGCGCGAAAGCUAGGGGAGCAAACGGG
rnacentral:rRNA from 1 species